GCCAGUAGUCAUAUGCUUGUCUCAAAG
rnacentral:misc_RNA from 1 species